rnacentral:rRNA from 1 species
AGAGUUUGAUCAUGGCUCAGAUUGAACGCUGGCGGCAGGCCUAACACAUGCAAGUCGAACGGUAACAGGAAGCAGCUUGCUGCUUUGCUGACGAGUGGCGGACGGGUGAGUAAUGUCUGGGAAACUGCCUGAUGGAGGGGGAUAACUACUGGAAACGGUGGCUAAUACCGCAUAACGUCGCAAGACCAAAGAGGGGGACCUUCGGGCCUCUUGCCAUCAGAUGUGCCCAGAUGGGAUUAGCUUGUUGGUGAGGUAACGGCUCACCAAGGCGACGAUCCCUAGCUGGUCUGAGAGGAUGACCAGCCACACUGGAACUGAGACACGGUCCAGACUCCUACGGGAGGCAGCAGUGGGGAAUAUUGCACAAUGGGCGCAAGCCUGAUGCAGCCAUGCCGCGUGUAUGAAGAAGGCCUUCGGGUUGUAAAGUACUUUCAGCGGGGAGGAAGGUGUUGUGGUUAAUAACCACAGCAAUUGACGUUACCCGCAGAAGAAGCACCGGCUAACUCCGUGCCAGCAGCCGCGGUAAUACGGAGGGUGCAAGCGUUAAUCGGAAUUACUGGGCGUAAAGCGCACGCAGGCGGUCUGUCAAGUCGGAUGUGAAAUCCCCGGGCUCAACCUGGGAACUGCAUUCGAAACUGGCAGGCUUGAGUCUUGUAGAGGGGGGUAGAAUUCCAGGUGUAGCGGUGAAAUGCGUAGAGAUCUGGAGGAAUACCGGUGGCGAAGGCGGCCCCCUGGACAAAGACUGACGCUCAGGUGCGAAAGCGUGGGGAGCAAACAGGAUUAGAUACCCUGGUAGUCCACGCCGUAAACGAUGUCUACUUGGAGGUUGUGCCCUUGAGGCGUGGCUUCCGGAGCUAACGCGUUAAGUAGACCGCCUGGGGAGUACGGCCGCAAGGUUAAAACUCAAAUGAAUUGACGGGGGCCCGCACAAGCGGUGGAGCAUGUGGUUUAAUUCGAUGCAACGCGAAGAACCUUACCUGGUCUUGACAUCCACAGAACUUUCCAGAGAUGGAUUGGUGCCUUCGGGAACUGUGAGACAGGUGCUUCU